rnacentral:rRNA from 1 species
AUACGGAGGACGCGAGCGUUAUCCGGAUUCAUUGGGUUUAAAGGGUGCGCAGGCAGCCGUGCAAGUCAGCGGUGAAAGCCCGGGGCUCAACCCCGGAAGUGCCGUUGAUACUGCAUGGCUGGAAUGCGGUCGAGGCGGCGGAACGUGGCGUGUAGCGGUGAAAUGCGUAGAUAUGCCACAGAACGCCGAUAGCGGAGGCAGCGCGCCGGGCCGGCAUUGACGCUCGGGCACGAAAGCGUGGGGAUCGAACAGGAUUAGAUACCCUGGUAGUCCACGCCGUAAACGAUGGGCGCUCGUCGUCGGGGGCAGACAGUCGGCGGCCAAGCGAAAGCGAUAAGCGCCCCACCUGGGGAGUACGGUCGCAAGGCUGAAACUCAAAUGAAUUGGCGGGG